rfam:Felis catus isolate Cinnamon breed Abyssinian chromosome C1, whole genome shotgun sequence.
GCCUGACUGGCUCAGUUGGUAGAGCAUGUGACUCCUGAUCUUGAGGUUGUGAAUUCAAGCCUCAUGUUGGGUG